rnacentral:rRNA from 1 species
GACGAACGCUGGCGGCGUGCUUAAUACAUGCAAGUCGAACGCUAAGGGUCUGUUCUUGUGCGGUCUUGGUGUGCCGCACGCGUGAGUAUAACGCGUGUAGCCUCUGCCUUUCUGUGGGAUACCUCCAGUAGACUCGGGCGCUAACAGCGUAUAAGCUCCUGCUGCACGGUUGUUGAUGGUAAGAGUCGGCGGUUCGUGAUGGACUCGUGGCUUAUCAGUUUGUUGGUGGGGUAGUGGCUUACCAAGUCAUUGACGGGUAGCCGGCCUGAGAAGGUGACCGGCCACAUUGGGACUGAGAUACGGCCCAGACUCCUACGGGAGGCAGCAGUGGGGAGUAUUGCACAAUGGGCGGAAGCCUGAUGCAGAGACGCCGCGUGCGGGAUGAUGGCCUUCGGGUUGUAAACCGCUGUCGGCUGUGACGGAGCGUGAGUGACGGUAAUGUGUAAAGAAGCACCGGCUAACUACGUG